ACAGAAUGGGGAUGGAUAUGUUGAUACUGAUGCCAAGAUGGAGAAGAUCAAGACAGGUGUCAGGAAGGCUCUAGGAAAGUAGGGGAUUCGUUGCAUGUGGUGCUGAUGAGAAGUGGUGGAGAAAUAAAAAAAAUCGCCCAUGAAGGGUCACAUCAAAACUGCCACUCGUCAUGCUGUGACCUGGAAUAACUAGAGAGGAACCUUUGUUUCUGCACCAUUGAACAUCAACACUGCUGGAUGUGAAAGAUGCUUUACCUCAUUCACAGUGUCCUCAAACUUUUCAGCAUUAGGUGUUCCAAUAGGAUUGAUGAAGACAUUUGUUUUUAUAUAUUUUCCUUUUGUUGUACUAUCUAUACAAGUGUAAGACAUAUAUGCUAGGAAUCUCAGGAAAAUCGAUUAUUUAUAAUAAGUAUUUCAAUGAUUUUGAUAGAGAUUAUAAAUUCAAAUCUUUGGUGUUUUUUUUUCAGAGACAGUUUUUAUAAUGUUAAAAUUAGAUUUAAUAUGCUGACUCUUGUUAUCUCCCUUGUGAUGUAAAUAUAAAAUUACGUAUAUUGACUUUCAGAAAUUUCACUCAUUCCAGGUUGUAACAUGUUCUGAGCUUUAUGAUUUUUUUUCAAAUAGGCUAUAAAAGACUGGAAUUUUA